rnacentral:rRNA from 1 species
ACAUCCAGAGAAUUUAGCAGAGAUGCUUUAGUGCCUUCGGGAACUCUGAGACAGGUGCUGCAUGGCUGUCGUCAGCUCGUGUUGUGAAAUGUUGGGUUAAGUCCCGNAACGAGCGCAACCCUUAUCCUUUGUUGCCAGCACGUAAUGGUGGGAACUCAAAGGAGACUGCCGGUGAUAAACCGGAGGAAGGUGGGGAUGACGUCAAGUCAUCAUGGCCCUUACGAGUAGGGCUACACACGUGCUACAAUGGCGCAUACAAAGAGAAGCGACCUCGCGAGAGCAAGCGGACCUCAUAAAGUGCGUCGUAGUCCGGAUUGGAGUCUGCAACUCGACUCCAUGAAGUCGGAAUCGCUAGUAAUCGUAAAUCAGAAUGUUACGGUGAAUACGUUCCCGGGCCUUGUACACACCGCCCGUCACACCAUGGGAAUGGGUUGCAAAAGAAGUAGAUAGCUUAACCUUCGGGAGGGCGUUUACCACUUUGUGAUUCAUGACUGGGGUGAAGUCGUAACAAGGUAAGCGUAGUGCU